GCUUCGGUGGCAAGUGGUUAGAGCGUCCGCCCCGGAUGUGGGAGGUCGUGGGUUCGAUCCCCGGUCGAGUCA